AUUAUCCUCGAUUCAAGCUUGGCAUAAUCUCAGGAGCAAUACACUGGCUUUAGCUGCCUGUGAAGAGGAUGCUCCAAACAAAUGAGCCAGGCCUAUUUCCUCAGAAGCUUGUGAGUUGUGACCCAAGCUGUCGACCAGGGCUAGCCAACCUGACAAAACACAGACUGCACCCUGAUUUAAUUUUCAGAAGAAAUGAGUCAAGCCCGUGAGCUCAAAGUUGAUUGAGAAUUAAUGAGGCUGAAGUUUAAGCAUCAAAUCUAAUAAUAGCCUCCAAGAGGCUGUGAUGGGCUUUUCACUGCCAAUGCCGAACAGCAGCUUUCCCCACCUCUUUGGCUCGUAUUUUUUCUUCUUUGAUAGAUACCUGUAUCAGAGCAGAGGAACCUGCCAAUGAAGUCUACUGCAGGGCAAAAUUUGGCAGUAGAAAGAUAAUGUAAAGUUGGUACUUACUGAGUUUCGCAAACAGGCAGGUUGUGGUACUAAACAGUACACCAGGACAGUGCUUGUCUA